rnacentral:lncRNA from 1 species
AAACAUAUAAAAAAAUGCAAGUUGUAUCAAGAAUCCAAUCCUGUUCAAGUUUGCAGUCGUAAUAAAAAAAUAAUAUGGCCAAUACCAAAUAUCCUAAAGGGUGUAUUAUUUUCCAUUACUGUAACAUAUUUUGAAACUGUUCAUAUGUUGAAAAUAAAUCUCGAUUGGGACACAAAAAAUAUAAGUUAUAUCAAGAAUCCAAUCCUCAUCAAGUUGGAGUUGUAGUUAGAAAUAAGUAAAACUUUUCCAUCGCUAUGACAAUUUUCUGCAAUACUAGCUUCCCUUGAAGUUUCCAAUUUCUAAUUUACAGCCAAUUUUUCUUUAUUCUGCAACU